rnacentral:rRNA from 1 species
UACGGAGGGUGCAAGCGUUGCUCGGAAUUAUUGGGCGUAAAGGGUAGGUAGGUGGUCUCAUUUGUCUGGGGUGAAAGCCUUGAGCUUAACUCAAGAAGUGCCCCGGAAACGGUGAGACUAGAGUCCUGGAGAGGGUCGUGGAAUUCCCGGUGUAGCGGUGAAAUGCGUAGAGAUCGGGAGGAACACCAGAGGCGAAAGCGGCGACCUGGACAGGCACUGACACUCAACUACGAAAGCGUGGGGAGCAAACAGG